rnacentral:rRNA from 2 species
CGAGCGGACAGAUGGGAGCUUGCUCCCUGAUGUUAGCGGCGGACGGGUGAGUAACACGUGGGUAACCUGCCUGUAAGACUGGGAUAACUCCGGGAAACCGGGGCUAAUACCGGAUGGUUGUUUGAACCGCAUGGUUCAGACAUAAAAGGUGGCUUCGGCUACCACUUACAGAUGGACCCGCGGCGCAUUAGCUAGUUGGUGAGGUAACGGCUCACCAAGGCGACGAUGCGUAGCCGACCUGAGAGGGUGAUCGGCCACACUGGGACUGAGACACGGCCCAGACUCCUACGGGAGGCAGCAGUAGGGAAUCUUCCGCAAUGGACGAAAGUCUGACGGAGCAACGCCGCGUGAGUGAUGAAGGUUUUCGGAUCGUAAAGCUCUGUUGUUAGGGAAGAACAAGUGCCGUUCAAAUAGGGCGGCACCUUGACGGUACCUAACCAGAAAGCCACGGCUAACUACGUGCCAGCAGCCGCGGUAAUACGUAGGUGGCAAGCGUUGUCCGGAAUUAUUGGGCGUAAAGGGCUCGCAGGCGGUUUCUUAAGUCUGAUGUGAAAGCCCCCGGCUCAACCGGG